rnacentral:lncRNA from 1 species
GGAUAUUAGCAUGUAAGCUGCCAGGGGGAGAAUCACCCUUCAAACCAGCGUGUGCACCUAUUUGCUUUCCUUCAAUCAGAUCUGGCCAGGGAAGGAGGAAGGAAAGAAGAAGAAAAAUAGCUAAGAAUGGAGUCUCCCACUAAAUAGCUGUGGGAAAGGGGGCCUUGAGCUCCCAAAAUUCCUGAUUUUGUGCAAAUAGACAGAGGAAAUUUUAAUAAGAUAGGAAAAGUCAAGGGAAGAGAUGAGAAAGGAAGGGAAAAACUUGACCAAAUUGGGUAGAAACCAUUAGGGUUUCUUGGGAAAGGAUAGUUUCCAGCGGCUAUAAAUGAGGCUUCUUAUACCUAACGAAUCAUCCACAACCAGAGAGCGAGCUUCCUCUCUUACUUGCAAAAACCCAGCAAUUUCGUGUACUAUUCACCCUUCUUCCCCAUUUUCCCUCUUCUGGCAGAUUGCUCUAAUAUUUGACAGAGUCACUGUCAAGCUGCCGGAAGAAACACUCAAGCCACCCUUUUCUUUCUCUCCCUUAUUUCUUAGCCAAAUCUACUUGCAAACCUUUCAUCUUUUAUAUGGGCACCCUCUUUU